rnacentral:rRNA from 1 species
UACGUAGGGUGCGAGCGUUACUCGGAAUUACUGGGCGUAAAGGGUGCGCAGGCGGUUAUAUAAGACAGAUGUGAAAUCCCCGGGCUCAACCUGGGAACUGCGUUUGUGACUGUAUGACUAGAGUACGGUAGAGAGGGGUGGAAUUCCUGGUGUAGCAGUGAAAUGCGUAGAUAUCAGGAGGAACAUCGACGGCGAAGGCAGCCCCUUGGACCUGUACUGACGCUCAUGCACGAAAGCGUGGGGAGCAAACAGG